rnacentral:ncRNA from 1 species
AAAAAAUCAAUGAUCAGGUGCAAGUACUUUUAUUGUAGUUGUUACAGCGAGUCGGUGUAGGUGUGAGACCGCUAUGGACGGGUAGAGGAAAUGGACUUGGGAGAUACGAUUUGAAAUGAUAGUAAGAAUCAACGGAUCCGCUCCGUUAGGUGGGGACUUGAUGAGUGAGCUAUAAGCUAAUCAGGGUGGUGCCACGGAAAGAUCGUUCCUUUCGUCCCUAUA